rnacentral:rRNA from 1 species
AGUGAACGCUGGCGGUAGGCCUAACACAUGCAAGUCGGACGGCAGCACAGUAAGAGCUUGCUCUUACGGGUGGCGAGUGGCGGACGGGUGAGGAAUACAUCGGAAUCUACUUUUUCGUGGGGGAUAACGUAGGGAAACUUACGCUAAUACCGCAUACGACCUACGGGUGAAAGCAGGGGAUCUUCGGACCUUGCGCGAUUGAAUGAGCCGAUGUCGGAUUAGCUAGUUGGCGGGGUAAAGGCCCACCAAGGCGACGAUCCGUAGCUGGUCUGAGAGGAUGAUCAGCCACACUGGAACUGAGACACGGUCCAGACUCCUACGGGAGGCAGCAGUGGGGAAUAUUGGACAAUGGGCGCAGGCCUGAUCCAGCCAUACUGCGUGGGUGAAGAAGGCCUUCGGGUUGUAAAGCCCUUUUGUUGGGAAAGAAAAGCAGCAGGUUAAUACCCCGCUGUUCUGACGGUACCCAAAGAAUAAGCACCGGCUAACUUCGUG